rnacentral:rRNA from 1 species
GGGAUAGAAUUCCAGGAGUAGCGGUGAAAUGCGUAGAUAUCUGGAGGAAUACCAAAGGCGAAGGCAGUCCCCUGGUCCGAUACUGACACUGAGGUACGAAAGCGUGGGGAGCAAACAGGAUUAGAUACCCUGGUAGUCCACGCCCUAAACGAUGUCGAUUAGCCAUUGGAAGGACCCCUUUUCCUUUCAGUGACGUAGCUAACGCGUUAAAUCGACCGCCUGGGAAGUACGACCGCAAGGUUAAAACUCAAAGGAAUUGACGGGGACCUGAACAAGCGGUGAAUGAUGUGGAUUAAUUCGAUGCUACGCGAAGAACCUUACCUACCUUUGACAUGGCCAAAGUUCUACCGAGAGGCGGAAGUACUCGUAAGAGGAUUGGCGCACAGGUGCUGCAUGGUUGUCGUCAGUUCGUGUCGUGAGAUGUUGGGUUCAGUCCCGCAACGAACGCAACCCUUAUCUUUAAUUGCUCCUAUUUUAACAGGCACUUAAAGAAACUGCCAAUGAUAAGUUGGAGGAAGGUGGGGAUCACGUCAAGUCCGCAUGGCCUUUAUAGGUAGGGCUUCACACGUCAUACAAUGGUUAGAACAAAGAGCUGCAAAUUCGUAAGAAGGAGCCAAUCUCACAAACCUAACCUCAGUUCGAAUUGCGGUCUGCAACUCGAGCGCAUGAAGCCGGAAUCGCUAGUAAUCGUGGAUCAGAAUGCCACGGUGAAUACGUUCUUAGGUCUU